UACGUAGGGCGCAAGCGUUGUCCAGAAUUAUUGGGCGUAAAGAGCUCGUAGGCGGUCUGUCGCGUCGAUCGUGAAAACUUGGGGCUCAACCCUGAGCUUGCGGUCGAUACGGGCAUGACUGGAGUUCGGCAGGGGAGACUGGAAUUCCUGGUGUAGCGGUGAAAUGCGCAGAUAUCAGGAGGAACACCGGUGGCGAAGGCGGGUCUCUGGGCCGAUACUGACGCUGAGGAGCGAAAGCGUGGGGAGCGAACAGG
rnacentral:rRNA from 1 species